UGCGUAGGUGGCGGGGUAAGUCAGGUGUGAAAUCUCGAGGCUCAACCUCGAAACUGCACUUGAUACUGCCUUGCUCGAGUACUGGAGAGGAGAUUGGAAUUUACGGUGUAGCAGUGAAAUGCGUAGAUAUCGUAAGGAAGACCAGUGGCGAAGGCGAAUCUCUGGACAGUUACUGACACUGAGGCACGAAGGCCAGGGGAGCAAACA
rnacentral:rRNA from 1 species